UAUUGGCUCAGGCUACUCUCUCCCUCCCUCUCCUCUCUCUCUCUCUCUCUGUGUAUAUAUGUGUGUGUGUGUGUGAGUGUGUGUGUUGCAAUCUUAUGUCUGUGUUAAAGUCUCUCUGCCUCCUUUAAUUUACUUGACCACCAAGGCUGUUAGAAAGUUAGAGAGAAAUGUAUGCACCCAAGCAACUUCUAGCAUCUGUUCUGCUAUUACUGAUCAUUUCUGCCAUAUCUCAAUAUCCAGGAGCUAUAGAAGCCAGGCCAUUAACACUCCAACAAGGGAAUUCGAAGAGGUUUUUUGCCUCCCUGGGACUGGAAUGCAAGUGCUGUGAUGGUGCGAAAGGUGAAUGUAGAAGCUCAUGGGACACAUCAUGCCCGAAGCUCAAGUGCCAUCCAUGGAAAUCCCACUGAUUCAAUUAAUUAAUAUCUUGAUGCUCUUGUUCCACUUACAUUUUCGUUUAUGGAUAGAGGCAGAUCGUUUUCUUAAUACAUACGUUGUUCCCACGCGCUCAACUGUUCUAUACUCAAGAAACAAUUAUGGCAUUUGUGUCAUCGAUAUCAGAUAAUCACAUGUAAUUUUCAUUAACUUGUCAAGAAGGAAUUUAUGAAAAAUAUACUAUGUAAGUAUUCGCGUUUUCUUA